rnacentral:rRNA from 1 species
AGUGAACGCUGGCGGUAGGCCUAACACAUGCAAGUCGAACGGCAGCACAGUAAGAGCUUGCUCUUACGGGUGGCGAGUGGCGGACGGGUGAGGAAUACAUCGGAAUCUACUUUUUCGUGGGGGAUAACGUAGGGAAACUUACGCUAAUACCGCAUACGACCUACGGGUGAAAGCAGGGGAUCUUCGGACCUUGCGCGAUUGAAUGAGCCGAUGUCGGAUUGGCUAGUUGGCGGGGUAAAGGCCCACCAAGGCGACGAUCCGUAGCUGGUCUGAGAGGAUGAUCAGCCACACUGGAACUGAGACACGGUCCAGACUCCUACGCGAGGCAGCAGUGUGGAAUAUUGGACAAUGGGCGCAAGCCUGAUCCAGCCAUACCGCGUGGGUGAAGAAGGCCUUCGCGUUGUAAAGCCCUUUUGUUGGGAAAGAAAAGCAGCAGGUUAAUACCCCGCUGUUCUGACGGUACCCAAAGAAUAAGCACCGGCUAACUUCGUG